GGGAAGGGGGCGGUGACGACGCCGGCUGGGCCGGCGCCCGAGAAGUUGGGACCGGCCCCGGCCUGGGUCGGACAGCGGAGGUGACAGACUUCUGCUCGUCCCAUUGACGAUGGCGGUGUUUCACGACGAAGUGGAGAUCGAGGACUUCCAAUAUGACGAGGACUCCGAGACGUACUUCUACCCCUGCCCGUGUGGGGAUAACUUCUGCAUCACCAAGGAUCAGUUUACUUGUGGAGAGACAGUCCCAGCCCCUUCCACCAACAAAGAACUAGUUAAAUGCUAAAGAAGACUUCAGGACUUCAAAGCCUGAACUUUUGGGAAUGAGCCAAGGUGGAAGAAUCAAAUGCAGAGUCACUGGCUUCUUCAUGUGGACCAUCAUUUUGUAGUUUGCUGUUCAUUAGCGUGUGGAUUCUUUCCAUUGGCGGCUGGGUUCAUCUCCAAUUGAAGAAGCAGGUUCACCACAUGACAUACCCAGGUUUUGUGCUUAGAACUUUAAAAUUGGAAGUGUUCUUAAUUUUCCAUCCACACUUAAAAGAAGAUAAUUUCAAAUCAGUGCUUUCUUUCCCUCAGUUUUGUUGCUUUUAUAACGUACACCUAAUUUCAUUAUCUGACAACAGCAUUAUCUACCUUAAAGUCAUUAAGAUGCUUUAAUUUAAAAAAGGGAUUUUAUUUUUUAGUUGGUCAUUAAGAUUAUUAAAACUAGCCAUUUCUUUAAUUUCACAUCAUCUUUGCUGUUCUAAACUGAAGGAAAUUAGUUGCCUCUUGUCAGUCAGGAUUGCACCUUCAGUUGGCCAUGCCAGUCUUCCAGAGCUAGCAGUUAGUCAAAUGUUUGUGUUCUGUUAAGCAUGCCAUUUCCGUUAUUCAACACCUGUUUUUGCUGAAGAUGAAUUUGAAAAUGAGAUGCCUCUUCUAGUUAAAUAUGCCCUUGAGUGGAGAUCCCCAUCCUGACUCAGUGGAAAUGAAUCUGGCUAGUAUCCACAAGGAUGCAGGUUCAAUCCCUGGCCUCUAUCACUGGGUUAGGAAUCCGGCGUUGCCUUGAGCUGUUGUGUAGGUCACAGACACAGCUCGGAUCUGGCAUUGCUGUGGCUGUGGUAUAGGCCAGCGCCUACAGCUCCGAUUCAGCCCCUAGCCUGGGAACCUCCAUAUGCCGAGGGUGCAGCCCUAAAAAAAAAAAAGAAAAAAUGUGCCUUGAGGCUCAUUUGAUAAACUUCUAUAAGCUGCAACCACAUCAGAGAUUCACUCUUUGCAGAGAAAUUUUGCCCUGGAGAAAAGCAUAUAAAGAUAAGCUAUCAGUCUUCCUUUGCUACAGUCCUGAGAGUAGCAAGAAAGAGAAUCACUCAUAUAGAAAUUCCAGAAUUCCCUUUAUAUACACACCUUUGCUAUGUGUAUAUAAAGUUAAACAAACCAAUGUCUGGCAGGUUGUUUGGGGAAUGGCUCCUGCAGUUAGAAAAAUAGCUUGCCAAAAUGUGAACAUUUUGUUACUAACUGAUAAAUGUGCUGAACACACUCUUUGAGGGUCUAAAUUAAAACAGGCAAGUGUUUUUUUUCUCCCUGCUAGCAGCAUAGCUAUGUGGAGCCAUUAGGCUGAGACAUAAUUAACCACCGAAAAUUGAAUGCCAGGACUGCUUGGUACAUUAUAUGAACUAUUAUAUGGCACAUGCUUCAUGUUAGGAGAAACCCCAUCCCCAUUUGAGACACUGAUGCCCCAGGGGUAAUCCACAGUUGUUUUGAAAGCAGUGACGGCUCAGGUGAACAGAGCAGGGUGUGUGUUGACCCUUGGGGAUGAGCUGCAAUGAGAAACUGAGGUUUUGUAGAUACCAAUAACUGAUGAUGAAUUUCAGGCAAUAACAGACAUCCUUGGUGUCAUAGUCUGCUAGAGCACAGAAGAGCAGGAAGAAGUUCCCUAAGUCCAGACGUCCCAGGAGAAAAGAAGCAAAUGGCACUGGCGAUGAAUAAACUGUGAUAAUGAGAACAAUUUUGUUUCCAAAGCAAGUGAAUCACUAAAUCUGUUAACCACAAAAACACAUAUCAGGAUUUAAUGCUAUGUUAAGCAGAAGGUAAAACCAGGUCUUGAAGGUCUGACUAGCAUUCUUUGUGGUGUGUGCCUUGUUUAGCUUAACAGACAUUUCAGAGCCUCUGAGAACUGAUGGUAAUCCAGGCUUUGUCUCUUGCUAGCUUUGUGAUCUUUGGCAAGGCUAGUGGAUUCCUCAUCUGUACAAUUAGGAGACUGGUUCAGGGGGUUUCAAACUCAGUACUAUAAUUUCAGGCUUUGUAGUUUGCAGAUGCUGGAAUGAUAAUUGAAACCUUUCUAAACUAAACAUGAUCUACAAGGAUCAUGCAUGUACUUUAGUGUAUACAUUCAGAACCCUUAUUUUGUGGAAAGCACCCAACAUUUUUGAUAACUGUACAUACUAAUUUAUUACCAGAAUAAAUUGUAUUGGCAUGCUAAAUAAAAGAUUAUUU
rnacentral:lncRNA from 1 species